CAUAUUGAUCUCCUUUGUCCCGGGGGGCAUUUUUCGGGGCUGGGGUGGCGUCUUCAUAGAAUGGCGAUUCACAGAGUGGGAGAAUGGACAGAGGAAGCUCUCUUCCUAGUAUUCUGGAACAGAAGAUAUAUCCAUAUGAAAUGCUGGUUGUAACCCACAGAGGGCGCAGUAAACUUCCUCCAGGUGUUGACAGGACCAGAUUAGAGAGGAAUUCCAGAGCUUAUUCGGAAUGUCCAUCACAGAAUUUGAUCGUCUGUCACUAUGGAAACGGAACGACCUGAAGAAGAAAGUGUCCCUUUUCUAACAUUUGGACAUUUGGACUUGGACACUGAACCCUUUGCCCUCCAGAGACGCCAGUAAUAUCCACUCUAAUCUAAUACGGAUGCUAUGCAGACA
rnacentral:lncRNA from 1 species